AUCUGGUUGCUCUGCACUGGCGCACGUGAAGCUGCCUUCCGUAACAUUAAGACCAUAGCCGAGUGCCUAGCGGAUGAGCUGAUCAACGCAGCUAAGGGUUCUUCUAACUCCUAUGCCAUCAAGAAGAAGGACGAGUUGGAGCGUGUGGCCAAGUCAAACCGUUAAGAGCGGCUGCUGGAAGUUCAAAACAAAUAAAUAGUUGUUUUCAUACUG